CUAAGACAGAUGCAAAAUCCUAUAGUGUUUGUCAUACACACUUUAAAAUAGAAGGCAUAGGGAUGUUUACAGUAACUCAAUAUCUCUGGUAACAUGCAUAGAGAAAGCAAGUUUUAAAGAAAGUAAGAUAUAAAGAAAUGGGAGUUUUUAUAACAAAUGUUUUGCUUCUCGUAUGAUGCAGUUGUGAACUCUGAAACAAAUGUGGCAAAAUAAUAACAUGGGCUAAAUUGCUUCCACUGUCAUAUUAUUUUUCUUGAUUCUCUGAAAUAGUCUACUGAUUUAAAGAAAACAAUGAAAAUUAUAGUGAAGUGAAAGACAAUUUCCCACAUGCCUUAAAAUUGACUUUAUAUAAAUUUCAUUUAAGAAUCAUCCCAAGGUCCCACAUAGAUGAAGAUGUUGUGGUACAUGGCAUAUGGUGUUCCUAUCAAUCCUCUGAGAUCUUCCUACAAGUGAUGCAACAGACAGGUCAAACUUCAAACCUGCUCAUCUUUUCUGGAAGGGAAGUAGAAGCUAGAAUCAAGUAAAUCAGUGCCUUUCUUUGGGCCACAGCCUUUAUUCUAGGCUUCACCACUAGUUAAAUGCCAGAAGAAUUUUUGAGAAGAAGAUGUUCAUGUCUUCUACCAGAAAGUAAUUGCCCUUGUGUCAUUUUAUUCAGCUCUUCCAUUUGCUCCUCAGAUGUUGAGAAGUUUAUUGAAAGGCACUGACAUUAGCAGAAUAAGUGAUGGACAUUAGUUGAACCCCUUCAGUGUCUAUGUGUUUUGUUGUAUUGUCUUUAACUCGUUCUUGAAGCACAGAUUUCAGCGAACCUUUCAGCUAUUCAGUGCCAGCGGUUUUCCCCACUCAGGAAAGAUGGUGUGAGCCAUACACACAGCAGGAUUAGACGGGGAGAGUUUCAGCUGCAGCUUCUAGUUUAAGACCAAAGCCCUUCCUCCCGCUGCUGCAUCUGUCUGAGAGGGGAAGCUCUUGUUUUCCAAGCUGGAACCAUUUAUGAGGAAAACUGAGCAGGGUGGCAAAAUGGAAAAGGAACAAUUUUCUAGUUUUUCCUACCUGUGAUAUUGAGGCCUGCUUUUUCUUUGAUUUGAGGUACAGCAUGUAAAUAACAAAUUUCCAUAUUCAAAAUGAUCACAUUAGAGUGACUGAGUGACCUUUUGAUUUUAAAGCCGACUAAAAUCUGACCAGACCACAAUGAAAAGUAUAAAAUUAGAAACUUAAAUUCCAAGCUAAAUUUCAGCUUUGACCCACCUAACUGGCAGCUCAGAAACAAGGACCGCACUGCUGCUGCCAGAGCAAGCUCACAUCCAGCUGGCACUUCGUGAGAGCUCCUUCCUGCCGGGCACGUGUGAGUUCAGUGCGGGCAAGAGACUUUUAUGCACAUUCUGUCAUUCAAAAGGGAAAUGAUGCCAACCCCAGAUGCAGCAUUCUCAGUAAACUAUCGCAAGAACAAAAAACCAAACACCGCAUAUUCUCACUCAUAGGUGGGAAUUGAACAAUGAGAUCACAUGGACACAGGAAGGGGAAUACCAUACUCUGGGGACUGUGGUGGGGAGGGGGGAGGGGGGAGGGAUAGCAUUGGGAGAUAUACCUAAUGCUAGAUGACGAGUUAGUGGGUGCAGCGCACCAGCAUGGCACAUGUAUACAUAUGUAACUAACCUGCACAAUGUGCACAUGUACCCUAAAACUUAAAGUAUAAUAAAAAAUAAAAAUAAAAAAUAAAAAAAAAUUUUUGAUUAAUCUUAACUAGUAUUUAUAAUACUCUAACU
ensembl:lincRNA